rnacentral:misc_RNA from 1 species
AAGAUAAAUAAUCUGUGGAAGACACAAUGUUCAAAUAAUAUUAGGUGAUAUUUAUUAAACAGAAUUACAGAACCAAAUGCAUUUAAAAUAUAAGCGAGUGAUAUGGCAUAAUUAACAAAGUGUGCAGGUAAAGAAUUUAUGGAUUGUUGACAGUUGGCCAGUUACUCUCAGACUGACUGUAGAUAGUGACCCAUGGUCCCUUAAAGAUUUUGAACCCCACUCUCUAUACAGUAGUGAGUAUGACCUGUGUAAGUGUCUGUAUAAGAUUAUCUGUGUCCAUGUGUGUAAUAUCGUUGUAUUUCAACA